rnacentral:tRNA from 1 species
CAUUAAAGAAGCUAAACUAGCAUUAACCUUUUAAGUUAAAGACUGGGAACCUAACUUCCCCUUAAUGA